UUUUUUUCUUUUUUUUUUUUUUUUAAGAUUUUGUACUGUGACAGAGUUAAUAAUCUGUGAAAGCUUCUGGACUGCUUUGUUUUGUUGGGUUUUUUAUCUGUCCAGUAUUGAUUUAGUACUUGUCAAGCCUCUCAAUUCUCAUGAUACAAAGAAAAUGUACCAUGGCUUUUCAGAACACAGAUUUGUAUUCUCACUUCUUUCUGGAGUUAUUUAUCUUCUCUUUUUGAACACGUGUCCAGUAACAUUUUUUUCUCCAAUGCUUAGACUAAAAGGCUUUUAAGAGGCAAGAGCUGCAAACCCGACCUUAUUCACCUGCCUGUCCCAGAGUUCAAGCACAGGCAGCGACAGGGAAGUUUGGCCACACUGUGCCUGUGUUUCCAGGCAACCGUCAUGUUAAUCAGGAGCAUCCAACUGUGCUUGAUUAUAUCUAGUAUUUGAAGCAGAAAAGGAACAUAAAGUAGUUACUCCAGGGAGCAGACUUGAAAAGUUUUAUUUGGAUUCCUGGCUUCAGCUGCUUUCUAGCUAGCUGAGGCUUACACUUAAUUACAGUUUCUACAUGUGUGGAUACCUUGAUUGUCUGCUGUCAGUCAACAAAAUCCAUGUACUUUCCUGCUUCACAGCCUGUGAACCUCACAAACACAUCAGAUUUGAAUCCUGGGCAUUGAGACUGAAAUCUUGAUUUUAAAUGAAAAUGGUUUUCCGGAGCCUCUCAACCAUCAUGUUCUCCUAACCAGGGUGCUGGAGCACAGAAACAGCGACAGAGACAGCAAGCUACCAAGAGAAUCCAGUGUUGACAUCUUUUCUUGGCAGUGCCUAUGGUUUCAUUUGCUCUUGGCCUGGACAGCCAGACAACAUCCCUGCUGGACCAGGACAGUCAGAUGUACCUAAACAAUCUGCACUUAUCAGUUCGAGUCUCAUGUAAUUCUGAGACCAGUCUCCCACAUACCAAUACCAAUGGGAUUUUUCCUGCUGGAUUAAGCAGAAAGAGGAAUACCAGCUGAAAUCUAGAAAGACCAUGAGAGGAGGGGUUUUCCCACAUAAUUUGUAAUUAAUUAUGGUACUCACUGCUACAGGAUUUUAUGAAUCUCACUUUUUUGUAUAUAUUGAAAAUAUAAUCAGACAGCUUAAUGGGAGUAAAACCUAUCAGGGACUUUCAAAUAUGCAGACAGUAACUCUUAAAAAAUUCUUAUAAAAGCUAUCCCCAAAUCUUAGAUCACUAGAAACUAUGGGACUGUACUGAGGAUGUGUCACUGCAUGUUUGCCAUUUCUUAUUCACUUCCUUAGGCAUUUGCUGUUGGCUUCUCCUGGAGGAAUGGUACCUGGUGGCCUGGACCUUUGAUUUGAUCACUCUGAGUAGUCUGAGAUAUGUGAACAAAAAAUGUGACUUUGACUCAAAGGUUGUAUUCUAUGAUCACUUUUGACAAUUAUAAGCACAAGGAAUGUGGUCAUAUUUUCAAAUUCUGGGGUAAAAUAUAUGGACACCUAAAAUAUAUGGACACCUAUGGAUCUGAAACUUUUGCAUUAUUUGAGGGAAUACUUUGUUAGAAUAACAGCCUGAAGUGCCAGGAGCAGAGGAGAAGUAUUAUAGGUUAGGCCUACAUCCUGCAUAGAAGCUCAUCUUAAAUGGUCACUCUCUCUCCAUUUAGGGCAACUAUAAAAUCAAGCUAAUAAUGUUUAUACUUAGUUUUGGAAGGAGCUUUGAGAGCUAGAAAUAAAUGCUUACUCUGCAAAUGCAAAGAUUUAUUUUUUUACAUGGAGUGAUUGCAACUGAGUAAAAAUGGGAAGAGGAUCAAAAACAUUUGGAAGACUCAAGAUCACAAAUGACUGUCAGUGACACUAAUUUUCCUAAUGUUUUAGGUGCUUUUGUAUGUCCUCUAGGGAGGCUAAGAUGCAUCCAAUAAAAAGCUCUGGCAUUAUGUGCCCUAACUUCUGCCCGGGACCUGACGUGCAGUUCCAAACCUUACGUUAGGUACAGCAUUUCUGGCUGUGCAAAUAUUGAACACAUUUUGCCAACUGGAGAGCAAUGGAGUUGUCUCAGAACACUGAGUGUGAAGGCAAGAACCCUCUGCUAGGUGGAAAUUAAUUUUUCAGAGGAGCAAAGGCGUUGCUGUUAGGCAGAUUUUGGUGGCAUUUAAAAAUACAUCUCAUUGUAGGCAGCUACUUCUUCAUUUUGGGGAGAUUUAUCCCUAAAACCUCAGAUAUAAAAGAGUUGAGAUCUUUGCAAAACCCCAUUUUAUAAUAAACGCUGUGUAAUAAAUACUGACUCUGGCUUUAAAUUUAAAUGGAAUAAUUUAUUGCUAGAUUUGACUAUUCCCCUUGAAGAUGUCCAAAGUUAAAACUGGGUAUCUUCAAGGCCUGUUAGGACAAAGAUGGCUGAGGAGAAAGCUAGCUGUAAGCCAGCAAAGCUGACCACAGCAAGGGAGAAAUGUGAUGAUUACACCUGGGCCAGCCCCUGCUGCCCUGACUCCAGGCUCUUCUACGGAAAGAUGUGUAAGGACAGGGCGAAGAUUUUGCAGAAGCUGAGACACUGAAACUCAGCAGCCAGGGAUCACCCCUGUGGAAGCAUCUGGGAACAAGCAAGCUCAUCUAGCCACAAAAUCAAUCUUUAGUUAAAAUCCAUAAUCUUUCCAUAGGUUUUUAAGGCCAAUACAGUAAUGGGGUCCAAGAACUGGCUGUAAGAGUACAAUGCUUUAAUAGAGAGGUCCAGUUAAAGUUCCCUGGAAGCCUGGCACUGCCUCAUGGAAUGGUUAAUCCAUCUUCCCUCUCUGCCUCUGCUGUUCCUGCACAUUUGAACUGUCAUAUCCUUUCUCCAUUAUGUAAUAGCCUAGAGGUCACACAUGUUCCUUUGCUUUGAAUAAUACAUCUCUAUGAAGCCUCAGUAUCUCUAUUUGAAAAUUUAUUUCUUUCAUUUUAAUAUUUUAUCAAUUUUGCCCUAAAUGGAUGACCUUAACUGGUUGCAGUUCAUUUCAUUUCUUCUCUGCUUAAAUAUUUUAAAGGUUCCAGAGUACAAACAUCAUUCAUGCAGUGUGUAACAAAAAUGCUCAGCUUGAACUUUGGAUUAUUUAAUUGUAAUUGUCAAGCUAUUAUUAAAAUUGAUUUUUAU
ensembl:lncRNA